CUCGCUGCUCCGCGGCCUUCCGCCCGCUCCGUCACUCACGCGGCGCGGUGGGAGGGCCCUGCGGCGGGGCCGGCCCUGCGGCGGCUCCCCGGGCGGGAGGGGCCGCAGCUGCUCCCCCCGCGGCUGAGGAGGGCCGGGAGGCGGCGGGAGGGGCCGCGCUGCCGCUCGGCGCGGUGCCCGGGGCAGGGAGUUGAUGAUUAACCCGCGGGCCACCGAGUACUUGCCUAAAGUCGCGCCCAGGGUGGGGUUUAACCUUGUCCCGGGCUCGGUGCCUCCCGUGUGACCCUGGGGCGGGCAGUUGUGCUGCUGCCGCCGAAGCGCUGCGGGGAUGCGCAGCUCCCUGUUGAACAAUCUCUGCUCUGAGUCUCAGCCUAGAGCUCGUUUUUGGAGGCUCAGGAGGUCGAGGUGAUGUGGGGGUCUCGGCGAGCGAAUGUGCGCCACAGCCGCGGGCUGCAGUAGCUCGAGUGCUGGUGGCUGGCGCUUGAAUCCAUGCUGGCCUCUUUUCCUCGGGCUGAGCCGCAAGGAGCUCAGCAGCUGCGGCAUUUAGUUCAAUUACUUCAGAUGAUCUGUAAAUUUUCAAUAAUGGCAAUACAUUCAUUCUGCCAUUUGGAGGAGCCUGUGCCACAGAAUAAUGAUCUGAAGAAAGCUCACUUAUUUGCAAGGAAGAGUCUUCAUUUGGGAAGCAGCACUGAUGCAGCUCAAGGGUGCUUUUCCAAGUCCAGAUUCUUUCAGCAGAACUGACACAACCUCUGGUACAAGGAUAAAAUUGGAUAAAAGAACAGAGUCAUGUAUCUGAAGAGUAAGAAGAAACCAUUUUGAUAGGUGUGGGUUGCUUGUCAGAAAUCCGUUCCAGAGCUUGAGUGCAAAGGAAGCAGGGUACUUAUGAUGAAUAAGAAUGGAUAUCUUGAGGAUAACAAUCGAUGUGGCAUCUUCAAAAGCAUGGCAUUCUGGACCUAGUCCUGCAACUGGAUUUGUUUAAAUGGAGCUCGAUAGCCUGGGGGCCUGAUGAAGUUCCUGGGACUCUGGUGACUGCAAGUUCUCACUCUGAAGAUUUGAUUGUAGGCCUGAACCUAAAUUUCUAUUUUGUUCUCCUGUCUAUUUGCUUCUAAAAUGAUGGAAAUUAUCCUUUAAAAUGGUGAUGUCUUUAAGUCUCAUGCACAUCCACUUAAGUAGUGUUCAGUGUUUGGGAUGUUGACAGACAUUGUUAAAAUAUUUCUAUUCUGUUGUGUGCCUGAACAUCAAGAUUGCUCUGAUUGUUGUGUUAGAUUUUUACAUUUAGUGGCUUUCUUCCUAAAAUGGAGAUCAUCACCUGUGUUUUCAAUCGUUGUGGUAUUUCUCUUAACUCAGAUUUUUAAGUCAGAGUAACUGUUGAAACUGUUCAGGUUAUUAUAAGUAAAUUUGUUUAUUUCUUGCUGGAUAAAAAUAUUUUAUUUUGCAAACUUGGUAGCCUCGUAUUACUGAAAGCUUUCAAUAUGAUGAUACUGUGAUGUAAUAAAAUAAGCAGGAAAAGACAUUACCUUUUA